UUCUAAACUAGUUUAAACCUUUUUUCACCCAGUGACUUAAGAAAACUCAAUAAUUUAUACACUCACACUCUCAGUUUUUCUAUUUAGCAGUUGUUUUCAUGGUGUUAUAUGAAAUUCAGAGCUUUCUUGGAUGUCAGAGCCAGGAAUCAGAGCUAAGGGCACACACUCUGUGUCUCUGACUCCAACACCAGGUGAGGGAGGACAGACAGGAUGGAGAAUGUGGAGCAAGGUUGCCCACUCUGGCUCACACCUCAAGGCACAGCUUCUCUGAGCAGGCCAGGCCUCCUGAGGAGAGACCCUGGGUCAAUAUCAAUUCCAAAUGUUCCUGUCACCUCUUCUCCAAUGACAGAAGUGAUAAAAGCAUCAAAAGUCACUCUUUAAAAUAGGAAUGUGUAUUUCUCAGACUAUCUUAGAAGCUCUGUGAAAUAUUUCUCCAGAGCUGCAGUAGGAAACCUUCCUGAUGAACUGCCCUGGAGCAGAGGGAAAUGCAGGCAGAGCCAGGCUUUGUCAGGACUUGCUGGAGCCCAGUGAGCCCCGGGGUGCAUUUGGUGCUGAGCCCUUGAACCCCAGAGCCUGAGAGGAGAUUGCACAAACUUUUCCAGGAGUCCAAGUCAGAAGAAAACCCCAGGUGUCUCCAAGCAUUAAUGGGUCCCACUGGGGUCCAGCCCCAGCACAGGCUCCUCAUGGGCUCCUUGGAGGAGAGAAUUGGAGGCCUUGAUUGCCCAGAAACCUCUCAGAGUCCCAGUGUGGGAACAAGAAAGGAAAGUACCUUAAAGAACUGAAGCACCCAGAGGCAUUGAUGAGCUCCACAGAGUGUUGUUACUGACAAAGGCUCUCAGGAGACUAAUUAAAGCGGAUAAUUGGAGGCCAUGAGUGCACAAACCUCUCAGAGACUGCAAGGCAAGAGCAGAGCCCCAAGUCCUUUGAAAAAGCUGCAGUCCCUGGGAGCAUUGAGGAGCCCCCCAGGGCCAUUCCUGGCCAAGGCUCCCCAGGGACUCGUCCCAGCAGAUCCCUGAGGCCCCUGGGAUGUGGGGGGAUGCUGAGGGCAGGACAAGGGGGUGACAGUGGCCAGCCUUGCUGGGGCUGUGCCAGGAGGCCCCAGGGCCUCAGGACCAGGUGUCUCCUCACAGCCCUUGCUGGCACAGACCCUGCUGUGGCCCAGGGCACCAAGACUUGGCUUCUCUUUGUCCCCACCUGUCAUCUCUGCCUCCCAUUUCCUGCUCUAACUGGAACCUGGGGACACUUUCUCAGCCGUGUCCCUCAGUGGGACCCAUCAACGGCAUCAGCAACUUUGGAGUUUGAUUAUGACGGAAUUCUCCAGAGGUUUCGUCACAAACCCUGGCUCUGCCUUGAUUUCCCUCUGCUCCAGUGCAGCUCAUCAGGAAGGUUUGCAACUCCAGUUAUGGAGAAUGGGUUUGGGUGCCACAGCAACCGGGAGAAGUUCAAGUUUCCUUGGAAUACCUGGGGAGGACUGGGACAUACUGGGGAACACUGGGAAUGCAGUGGGAGACACUGGGACAUACUGGGAGUGAUACUGGGGAGGGCUGGGACAAGCUGAGGAAUGCUGAGGGGGAACUAGGGUGGGUUGGGAUGGACUUGGGGGUACUCUGGGACAUACUGGGACAGACGAGGACAUACUGGGAGUGACACUGGGGGAUACUGGGACAAACUGGGGACACUGGGAACACUGUGGGAAAAACUGGGGGACACUGGGGAGUUGGAUGGAUGACACUGGGGGCAACUGGAAGGGAAUGGGAAUGAACUCAGGUGUAUUGGGACGGACUGGGCUCUACUGGGAGGGUCUGAAGGGGCACUUGGAAUGAACUGGGCUGUACUGGGAGGGACUGGAAGGGUGGAAUUUGCCGUUCCCGCCUCUGCCAUCACCUAUUGGCCAAAGCUCCCGCCAAUCACGGCCUUCAGCCAAUCAGCUCCGGGCAUCAGGGACUCGGGGGCGGGGCCGACAGUCGGCGCCAUUUUUCCUUUUUGCCUCUCACUCCCGUCAUGCCCCGCGCCCCGAUAGUGCCCCAUUGGAGCCGGGACUACAACGCCCGUCAUGCCCCGCGCUCCACAGAACCCCGGGAUCGCCCCCAUCUGUCCCUGUUUUGUAAAGUGGUGUUCCUAACAUAUUAGUCCUGGACCUUGGUAUAACAAAGAAGGAGGGCUGUAUAAUUCCUAAGAUCCAAAAAGCGUCGGAUUCUUUCCCACCUGCGUUGUUCUGCGUCCGGAUUUAAUGGAGUUCCUGUCAGCAGCCAAUCCAGAAUGCCUCUUUUCUCUAAUGGAUUAAAGUUAGUUGCAAUCAUAAAGCACAAA